CCUACGGGUGGCUGCAGUCGAGAAUCAUUCACAAUGGGGGAAACCCUGAUGGUGCGACGCCGCGUGGGGGAAUGAAGUUCUUCGGAUUGUAAACCCCUGUCAUGUGGGAGCAAAUUAAAAAGAUAGUACCACAAGAGGAAGAGACGGCUAACUCUGUGCCAGCAGCCGCGGUAAUACAGCGGUCUCAAGCGGUGUUCGGAAUCACUGGGCGUAAAGCGUGCGUAGGCUGUUUCGUAAGUCGUGUGUGAAAGGCGAGGGCUCAACCCGCGGACGGCACAUGAUACUGCGAGACUAGAGUAAAGGAGGGGGAACCGGAAUUCUCGGUGUAGCAGUGAAAUGCGUAGAUAUCGGGAGGAACACUCGUGGCGAAGGCGGGUUCCUGGACAUUAACUGACGCUGAGGCACGAAGGCGAGGGGAGCGAAAGGGAUUAGAUACCCGGGUAGUC
rnacentral:rRNA from 1 species